rnacentral:rRNA from 1 species
UAAGCGGAGGAAAAGAAACUAACAAGGAUUCCCCUAGUAACGGCGAGUGAAGCGGGAAGAGCUCAAAUUUGAAAUCUGGCAGUCUUCGAUUGUCCGAGUUGUAAUCUAUAGAGGCGUUUUCCGUGCCGGACCGUGUCCAAGUCUCCUGGAAAGGAGUAUCAAAGAGGGUGAUAAUCCCGUACUUAACACGACCACCGGUGCUCUGUGAUACGUCUUCUACGAGUCGAGUUGUUUGGGAAUGCAGCUCAAAAUGGGUGGUGAAUUCCAUCUAAAGCUAAAUAUUGGCGAGAGACCGAUAGCGAACAAGUACCGUGAGGGAAAGAUGAAAAGCACUUUGGAAAGAGAGUUAAACAGUACGUGAAAUUGUUGAAAGGGAAACGAUUGAAGUCAGUCGUGUUCUUUGGAUUCAGCCAGUUCUGCUGGUCUACUUCCUUGGAACGGGUCAACAUCAGUUUUGUCCGGUGGAUAAAGGUAGUAGGAAUGUGACUUCUCCGGAAGUGUUAUAGCCUAUUAUCACAUACACUGGGUGAGACUGAGGACUGCAGCUCGCCUUUAUGGCCGGCCUUCGGGCACGUUCGAGCUUAGGAUGUUGACAUAAUGGCUUUAAACGACCCGUCUU